rnacentral:rRNA from 1 species
UACGUAGGGGGCUAGCGUUGUCCGGAAUCAUUGGGCGUAAAGAGCGCGUAGGCGGCCAGAUAAGUCCGGUGUGAAAGUCACAGGCUCAACCUGUGAAUGCCGCUGGAAACUGUCUGGCUAGAGUCCGGAAGGGGCGAGUGGAAUUCCUGGUGUAGCGGUGAAAUGCGCAGAUAUCAGGAGGAACACCAAUGGCGAAGGCAGCUCGCUGGGACGGUACUGACGCUGAGGCGCGAGAGCGUGGGGAGCGAACAGG